GCACGUAGUUAGCCGGUCGCUUUUUCUGCAGGUACCGUCACUUUCGCUUCUUCCCUACUAAAGGAGGUUUACAACCCGAAGGCCGUCGUCCCUCACGCGGCGUUGCUGCAUCGGGCUUGCGCCCAUUGAGCAAUAUUCCCCA
rnacentral:rRNA from 1 species